rnacentral:rRNA from 1 species
CUAAGAAUAUUCCGCAAUGGGAGGAAUCCUGACGGAGCGACGCCGCGUGAAUGAAGAAGGCAGAAAUGUUGUAAAGUUCUUUUUUAUGGGAAGAAUAAGGUAUAGAGUGGAAAGCUGUACUGAUGACGGUACCAUAAGAAUAAGCCACGGCUAACUACGUGCCAGCAGCCGCGGUAAUACGUAGGUGGCAAGCGUUGUUCGGAUUUAUUGGGCGUAAAGGGCAUGUAGGUUGUUUAGCAAGUGUGAAUUUAAAUAUCUGGGCUUAACCUGGUUAUGGUUUGCAAACUGCUAGACUAGAGUUCGGUAGGGGAGACUGGAAUUCCGCGUGUAGGGGUGAAAUCUGUAGAUAUGCGGAGGAAUACUUGUGGCGAAGGCGAGUCUCUGGGCCGAUACUGACACUGAAAUGCGAAAGUGUGGGGAGCGAACAGGAUUAGAUACCCUGGUAGUCCACACUGUAAACGUUGCACACUGGGUGUCUGCGAUGUAAUUGUGGGUGCCGUAGCUAACGCGUUAAGUGUGCCGCCU